UACGGAGGGUGCAAGCGUUAAUCGGAUUUAUUGGGCGUAAAGGGCGCGUAGGCUGAUGAAUAAGUCGGGUGUGAAAUCCUGGGGCUCAACCUCAGGGCGGCACCUGAAACUAUUUGUCUAGAGGAUAGGCGGAGAAAACGGAAUUCCACAAGUAGCGGUGAAAUGCGUAGAUAUGUGGAAGAACACCGGUGGCGAAGGCGGUUUUCUAGCUUACUCCUGACGCUGAGGCGCGAAAGUUAGGGGAUCAAACAGG
rnacentral:rRNA from 1 species